CCUAUAUCCCUUAAUCCCACAUAUUCUCUUUACCCGAUCUCCUUCUCGCAGCGGCGGCUGAAUCCUUCUCCAGCGGUGGCGGAAUCCUUCUCCUGCAGCGGCGCAGGUCUCGCUCGGUGUAGUUGGAGACACUCGUAUCAUAAAGCAUUUUUGUAGAUCUUCCCCGUGGUCAUUAGAGGUGACAUCUAAUAUUUUUUCCCCUCUUGUUCUACAAGCUAUUUGAAGAAAAAUGUUCCGCUCUAAGUCAGAUUCCUCCGCGUGACGAUGAUGAUGAUAACGAUGAUGCUGGUGAUGCUAUUUCAUGAUUUUAAUUAUGAUUGGUGAGGCGAAAUAUGUAUCGGAGAAAAAAGAAGAGAAGAGUUGAUGGGGAUGAAAGCUUUUGUGGAGAAAGAAGAUGAGUUGAUGUAUCUUAGUUUUUUUUUAAAUUUAACUCCUUGUUUAACUUCUUGGAUUAUUAGACUUUAUAAAUAUUUGAGUGUUGAACUUGUAUAA